GGAUAUAUAGCUUAGUUGAUAGAGCAGUAGACUGUUAAUUUAUGGGUCGAGAGUUUAAGGUUCUCUAUCUCCGCCA
rnacentral:tRNA from 1 species